UGUUUGUUCCAGAUUACAAUGUCAGUGUUGCAGAGUUACUCAUUCCGGGCAGCGAGCUUUCGCAACACAUAAGCACGGCGGGAAUGGAGGCGAGUGGAACGAGCAACAUGAAAUUUGCGAUGAAUGGAUGUAUUCUCAUCGGAACACUGGAUGGAGCCAACGUAGAGAUUCGGGAAGAA